AACGAACGCUGGCGGCAUGCCUAACACAUGCAAGUCGAACGAUUGCCUUCGGGUGAUAGUGGCGCACGGGUGCGUAACGCGUGGGAAUCUGCCCUUAGGUUCGGAAUAACAGCUGGAAACGGCUGCUAAUACCGGAUGAUAUCGCGAGAUCAAAGAUUUAUCGCCUGAGGAUGAGCCCGCGUUGGAUUAGGUAGUUGGUGGGGUAAAGGCCUACCAAGCCGACGAUCCAUAGCUGGUCUGAGAGGAUGAUCAGCCACACUGGGACUGAGACCCGGCCCAGACUCCUACGGGAGGCAGCAGUGGGGAAUAUUGGACAAUGGGCGCAAGCCUGAUCCAGCAAUGCCGCGUGAGUGAUGAAGGCCCUAGGGUUGUAAAGCUCUUUUACCCGGGAAGAUAAUGACUGUACCGGGAGAAUAAGCCCCGGCUAACUACGUG
rnacentral:rRNA from 1 species